CCUACGGGAGGCAGCAGUGAGGAAUAUUGGUCAAUGGGCGCGAGCCUGAACCAGCCAAGUAGCGUGAAGGAUGACUGCCCUACGGGUGGUAAACUUCGUUUAUAAAGGAAUAAAGUGAGGCACGUGUGCCGUUUUGUAUGUACGUUAUGAAUAAGGAUCGGCUAACUCCGUGCCAGCAGCCGCGGUAAUACGGAGGAUCCGAGCGUUAUCCGGAUUUAUUGGGUUUAAAGGGAGCGUAGAUGGGUUGUUAAGUCAGUUGUUAAAGUUUGCGGCUCACCCGUAAAAUUGCACUUGAUACUGGCAGUCUUGCGUCCAGUUGAGGUAGGCGUCCUUCGUGGUGUCGCGGUGACCUGCU
rnacentral:rRNA from 1 species